rnacentral:rRNA from 1 species
GGUAAGGAGGUUGCAGCAGCCGCGGUAAUAGGUAGGGUGGAAGCUUGGUCCGGAAUUAUUGGUCGUAAAGAGCGUGUAGGCGGGCAUACAGGUCAGCUGUGAAAACGCGAGGCUCAACCGCGAGACGUCGGUUGAAACCGUAUGGCUAGAGUCCGGAAGAGGAGAGUGGAAUUCCCGGUGUAGCGGUGAAAUGCGCAGAUAUCGGGAAGAACACCCGUGGCGAAGGCGGCUCUCUGGGACGGUACUGACGCUGAGACGCGAAAGCGUGGGGAGCGAACAGGAUUAGAUACCCCAGUAGUC